rnacentral:tRNA from 1 species
UAGCUCAAUUGGUAGAGUGUCUGCCUUGCAUGCACAAGGCCCUGGGUUCUAAUCCCCAG